rnacentral:lncRNA from 1 species
CAAAAUUGAAUGAAUCUAUAUCAAUGAGUUCCAAAACAUUUCAAAUUGACUUUUUUAAAAAAAAAAUCAGUAAUAAUCUAAUGUUAUAAUAGAAAAGAUAUACAGGCCUUAUAUUGGGAAUUUACUAGUAUAUGUAGACACUCAAGAGUCUGAAAGAUUGAGAAAAAACCUUGGUUUCGAUUCAAACGAUUGGAACGGCGCAGUGGAGCAGAGCUGCAGCUAACUUUACAGGAUUUCUUUAACUGGAUCUCCAUUGAUUUUGAUGAGGAAAUAAUUGGCGGAACCUGUUAUUCAACAUCACAAGCGGAAUAAAAUUAUAAAAAAAAUAAGGAGUUUUUCUAAAUAUAAAACUUGGAGAGGGAAGAGAUCUAUCUUGGACCUGGUAGUCUAAAUUGCGAGCAUUUCUAAUACUUUCAUAGUCUCUCUUUUCCCUUAGCCUACCUACCCAUCCUUCCUUUUCAAUGUUAG